GCCGGGAUAGCUCAGUCGGUAGA
rnacentral:tRNA from 1 species